CAAAGAACAGUCGGCAUGGCGGAUGGACCGGAGACGCAAACCCCCAGACCGGAGUCAAUGCUAUUCAACGGCCGGUAGUGAGCAGCGGAGGCGUUUCGGGUUCCUCUUGUGAUGGAGAGUGCCUACCCUGAAGUAGGAGCUAAAAAAGACCUCAGAAAAAAGGCUUCUAAGAGCUUUGAUGGCUCCACGUUCCUGCAGUGUGACGACCCAAAAGACUGGAGACCUCUUACAUGAGCUACAAGACUCGCCUCAGACACACACAUGGACAGAGAAGUGUUGUCUUGUUCCUCGCCAGUUUGGCUCUCCCAGUCCUCCGGAGGCCGGCCUUCCCCUCUGGGGGCUUCCUGGAGCUCUGACGUAUCUGGAGGGCUACUGG